rnacentral:rRNA from 1 species
AGUGAACGCUGGCGGUAGGCCUAACACAUGCAAGUCGAACGGCAGCACAGUAAGAGCUUGCUCUUACGGGUGGCGAGUGGCGGACGGGUGAGGAAUACAUCGGAAUCUACUUUUUCGUGGGGGAUAACGUAGGGAAACUUACGCUAAUACCGCAUACGACCUACGGGUGAAAGCAGGGGAUCUUCGGACCUUGCGCGAUUGAAUGAGCCGAUGUCGGAUUAGCUAGUUGGCGGGGUAAAGGCCCACCAAGGCGACGAUCCGUAGCUGGUCUGAGAGGAUGAUCAGCCACACUGGAACUGAGACACGGUCCAGACUCCUACGGGAGGCAGCAGUGGGGAAUAUUGGACAAUGGGCGCAAGCCUGAUCCAGCCAUACUGCGUGGGUGAAGAAGGCCUUCGGGUUGUAAAGCCCUUUUGUCGGGAAAGAAAAGCAGCAGGUUAAUACCCCGCUGUUCUGACGGUACCCAAAGAAUAAGCACCGGCUAACUUCGUG